GGAUUAGAUACCCUGGUAGUCCACGCCGUAAACGAUGUCUACUAGCCGUUGGGGAACUUGAUUCUUUAGUGGCGCAGCUAACGCACUAAGUAGACCGCCUGGGGAGUACGGCCGCAAGGUUAAAACUCAAAUGAAUUGACGGGGGCCCGCACAAGCGGUGGAGCAUGUGGUUUAAUUCGAUGCAACGCGAAGAACCUUACCAGGCCUUGACAUCCUGCGAAUUUGGAAGAGAUUCCUUAGUGCCUUCGGGAACGCAGUGACAGGUGCUGCAUGGCUGUCGUCAGCUCGUGUCG
rnacentral:rRNA from 1 species